CUACGUGCCAGCAGCCGCGGUAAUACGUAUGUCACAAGCGUUAUCCGGAUUUAUUGGGCGUAAAGCGCGUCUAGGUGGUUAUGUAAGUCUGAUGUGAAAAUGCAGGGCUCAACUCUGUAUUGCGUUGGAAACUGUGUAACUAGAGUACUGGAGAGGUAAGCGGAACUACAAGUGUAGAGGUGAAAUUCGUAGAUAUUUGUAGGAAUGCCGAUGGGGAAGCCAGCUUACUGGACAGAUACUGACGCUAAAGCGCGAAAGCGUGGGUAGCAAACAGGAUUAGAUACCCUGGUAGUCCAUGCCGUAAACGUUGGGCACUAGGUGUGGGGGACAUUCCACGUUUUCCGCGCCGUAGCUAACGCAUUAAGUGCCCCGCCUGGGGAGUACGGCCGCAAGGCUAAAACUCAAAGAAAUUGACGGGGGCCCGCACAAGCGGCGGAGCAUGCGGAUUAAUUCGAUGCAACGCGAAGAACCUUACCAAGGCUUGACAU
rnacentral:rRNA from 1 species